rnacentral:rRNA from 1 species
AUUGAACGCUGGCGGCAGGCUUAACACAUGCAAGUCGAACGAGUGGCGGACGGGUGAGUAAUGUCUGGGAAACUGCCUGAUGGAGGGGGAUAACUACUGGAAACGGUAGCUAAUACCGCAUACCAUCAGAUGUGCCCAGAUGGGAUGAGCUGGUUGGGGGGGUAAUGGCUCACCAGGGCGACGAUCCCUAGCUGGUCGGAGAGGAUGACCACCCCAACUGGAACUGGGACAGGGUCCAGACUCCUACGGGGGGCAGAAGUGGGGAAUAUUGCACAUGGGGCGCAAGCCUGAUGCAGCCAUGCCGCGUGUAUGAAGCAGGCCUUCGGGUUGUAAAGUACUUUCAGCGGGGAGGCGUUACCCGAAGAAGAAGCACCGGCUAACUCCGUGCCAGCAGCCGCGGUAAUAC